rnacentral:rRNA from 1 species
ACUAAGCGUACACGGUGGAUGCCCUGGCAGUCAGAGGCGAUGAAGGACGUGCUAAUCUGCGAUAAGCGUCGGUAAGGUGAUAUGAACCGUUAUAACCGGCGAUUUCCGAAUGGGGAAACCCAGUGUGAUUCGUCACACUAUCAUUAACUGAAUCCAUAGGUUAAUGAGGCGAACCGGGGGAACUGAAACAUCUAAGUACCCCGAGGAAAAGAAAUCAACCGAGAUUCCCCCAGUAGCGGCGAGCGAACGGGGAGCAGCCCAGAGCCUGAAUCAGUGUGUGUGUUAGUGGAAGCGUCUGGAAAGGCGCGCGAUACAGGGUGACAGCCCCGUACACAAAAAUGCACAUGCUGUGAGCUCGAUGAGUAGGGCGGGACACGUGGUAUCCUGUCUGAAUAUGGGGGGACCAUCCUCCAAGGCUAAAUACUCCUGACUGACCGAUAGUGAACCAGUACCGUGAGGGAAAGGCGAAAAGAACCCCGGCGAGGGGAGUGAAAAAGAACCUGAAACCGUGUACGUACAAGCAGUGGGAGCACGCUUAGGCGUGUGACUGCGUACCUUUUGUAUAAUGGGUCAGCGACUUAUAUUCUGUAGCAAGGUUAACCGAAUAGGGGAGCCGAAGGGAAACCGAGUCUUAACUGGGCGUUAAGUUGCAGGGUAUAGACCCGAAACCCGGUGAUCUAGCCAUGGGCAGGUUGAAGGUUGGGUAACACUAACUGGAGGACCGAACCGACUAAUGUUGAAAAAUUAGCGGAUGACUUGUGGCUGGGGGUGAAAGGCCAAUCAAACCGGGAGAUAGCUGGUUCUCCCCGAAAGCUAUUUAGGUAGCGCCUCGUGAAUUCAUCUCCGGGGGUAGAGCACUGUUUCGGCAAGGGGGUCAUCCCGACUUACCAACCCGAUGCAAACUGCGAAUACCGGAGAAUGUUAUCACGGGAGACACACGGCGGGUGCUAACGUCCGUCGUGAAGAGGGAAACAACCCAGACCGCCAGCUAAGGUCCCAAAGUCAUGGUUAAGUGGGAAACGAUGUGGGAAGGCCCAGACAGCCAGGAUGUUGGCUUAGAAGCAGCCAUCAUUUAAAGAAAGCGUAAUAGCUCACUGGUCGAGUCGGCCUGCGCGGAAGAUGUAACGGGGCUAAACCAUGCACCGAAGCUGCGGCAGCGACACUAUGUGUUGUUGGGUAGGGGAGCGUUCUGUAAGCCUGUGAAGGUGUGCUGUGAGGCAUGCUGGAGGUAUCAGAAGUGCGAAUGCUGACAUAAGUAACGAUAAAGCGGGUGAAAAGCCCGCUCGCCGGAAGACCAAGGGUUCCUGUCCAACGUUAAUCGGGGCAGGGUGAGUCGACCCCUAAGGCGAGGCCGAAAGGCGUAGUCGAUGGGAAACAGGUUAAUAUUCCUGUACUUGGUGUUACUGCGAAGGGGGGACGGAGAAGGCUAUGUUGGCCGGGCGACGGUUGUCCCGGUUUAAGCGUGUAGGCUGGUUUUCCAGGCAAAUCCGGAAAAUCAAGGCUGAGGCGUGAUGACGAGGCACUACGGUGCUGAAGCAACAAAUGCCCUGCUUCCAGGAAAAGCCUCUAAGCAUCAGGUAACAUCAAAUCGUACCCCAAACCGACACAGGUGGUCAGGUAGAGAAUACCAAGGCGCUUGAGAGAACUCGGGUGAAGGAACUAGGCAAAAUGGUGCCGUAACUUCGGGAGAAGGCACGCUGAUAUGUAGGUGAAGUCCCUCGCGGAUGGAGCUGAAAUCAGUCGAAGAUACCAGCUGGCUGCAACUGUUUAUUAAAAACACAGCACUGUGCAAACACGAAAGUGGACGUAUACGGUGUGACGCCUGCCCGGUGCCGGAAGGUUAAUUGAUGGGGUCAGCGCAAGCGAAGCUCUUGAUCGAAGCCCCGGUAAACGGCGGCCGUAACUAUAACGGUCCUAAGGUAGCGAAAUUCCUUGUCGGGUAAGUUCCGACCUGCACGAAUGGCGUAAUGAUGGCCAGGCUGUCUCCACCCGAGACUCAGUGAAAUUGAACUCGCUGUGAAGAUGCAGUGUACCCGCGGCAAGACGGAAAGACCCCGUGAACCUUUACUAUAGCUUGACACUGAACAUUGAGCCUUGAUGUGUAGGAUAGGUGGGAGGCUUUGAAGUGUAGACGCCAGUCUGCAUGGAGCCGACCUUGAAAUACCACCCUUUAAUGUUUGAUGUUCUAACGUGGACCCGUAAUCCGGGUUGCGGACAGUGUCUGGUGGGUAGUUUGACUGGGGCGGUCUCCUCCUAAAGAGUAACGGAGGAGCACGAAGGUUGGCUAAUCCUGGUCGGACAUCAGGAGGUUAGUGCAAUGGCAUAAGCCAGCUUGACUGCGAGCGUGACGGCGCGAGCAGGUGCGAAAGCAGGUCAUAGUGAUCCGGUGGUUCUGAAUGGAAGGGCCAUCGCUCAACGGAUAAAAGGUACUCCGGGGAUAACAGGCUGAUACCGCCCAAGAGUUCAUAUCGACGGCGGUGUUUGGCACCUCGAUGUCGGCUCAUCACAUCCUGGGGCUGAAGUAGGUCCCAAGGGUAUGGCUGUUCGCCAUUUAAAGUGGUACGCGAGCUGGGUUUAGAACGUCGUGAGACAGUUCGGUCCCUAUCUGCCGUGGGCGCUGGAGAACUGAGGGGGGCUGCUCCUAGUACGAGAGGACCGGAGUGGACGCAUCACUGGUGUUCGGGUUGUCAUGCCAAUGGCACUGCCCGGUAGCUAAAUGCGGAAGAGAUAAGUGCUGAAAGCAUCUAAGCACGAAACUUGCCCCGAGAUGAGUUCUCCCUGACUCCUUGAGAGUCCUGAAGGAACGUUGAAGACGACGACGUUGAUAGGCCGGGUGUGUAAGCGCAGCGAUGCGUUGAGCUAACCGGUACUAAUGAACCGUGAGGCUUAACC